rnacentral:lncRNA from 1 species
ACACCUCAGCAAUUACAUAUUGUAAUUAAUACAAAAUUGAGGUUAUAAAUUUUUAAAAAAUUCUCAAAUAAUAUAUAGGGAUUCCAUAAAAUAGUUUCCAGUUACACCCUAUAUGUUUCUCCGGCAGCAGAGAGGAAGAUGUCAAUGUCAUGACCGAGUUUGAAGUAGAACUCUUUUAAGAGUAGAUAAUACAUCAGACAUAUUUGGCUUCAAC